CAAAGAUCGAAUGUUUUUCACUCGGGCCUCUAAAAGAAGCGCUCGUUGAAGUCCACUGAGAACCAGGUAGAGUUGUCCGUAGAGGAAUACAUAUACUCCGAUAACAGAUAUCUAGAAAGUCAGGCUGUUGAAGUAGAAGCCAACAGUAGUGAAGUAACAAGAAAGCAUUCGAAAGAAGUCGAAUCGGCGUCCGAGGCGAUAGAUAUCGCGGCUAAGUGUUUGCUCACUGUUGCCAUUUGCCACUUUGGCUUCGAAUUUGGAGAUUUGGUUCAAUCCGACGUCGCGGCCUUUGCCAACUUCUUUGACCAGAACAGAGGAAUAUACUGGCCGAGUACCAUUCUCCAAAUCUUCCUUCUCCUCGACAUAAGCAACACGCAAAGCCGGAUACCUAUAGAUACAUAUAUUCAAUUUCCUAUUCAAGAUGUUCAAUAGAUCUUUCAGCUUCGAAGUUACCUUAUCAUUAACUGAAGUAUGUCUGUUGCCUGAGGAUCUCCGGAAGCCUUUUGGGAUCCAUACAUUUGACAUGAAACAAUAUUCUUCAAGCAUUAUAGUGACUUGAUGGAAGUAAGACUUAAGAGGCAAAAGGAACAAACCGUCGUCCUCAGCCAUGUCCAGAAAAGCUUGCAAUUUUAAUGCCUUCCGUGUUUGUCCCCGGAAAGAAGCCCAAUCUCUCAGAUCUUCCUCAUCAAUUUCAUUUCCCAGGCGCUCAAGAAAAUUUUCCCACUCGUCUGCCAGAUAAAAGAAUAUUGUUGAGCACAAGAAUCGG